AUCUCUCCGGUGGCCUAGUGGUCAGAGCGCCCGCUUCAGAUGCGAAAGGUCGUGGGUUCGAUGCCCGGCCGAGUCAUA